rnacentral:rRNA from 1 species
UGAGCAACCUGCCCUGGACUCUGGGAUAAGCGCUGGAAACGGCGUCUAAUACUGGAUAUGAGCCCCUAUCGCAUGGUGGGGGUUGUAAAGAUUUUUUGGUCUGGGAUGGGCUCGCGGCCUAUCAGCUUGUUGGUGAGGUAAUGGCUCACCAAGGCGUCGACGGGUAGCCGGCCUGAGAGGGUGACCGGCCACACUGGGACUGAGACACGGCCCAGACUCCUACGGGAGGCAGCAGUGGGGAAUAUUGCACAAUGGGCGAAAGCCUGAUGCAGCAACGCCGCGUGAGGGAUGACGGCCUUCGGGUUGUAAACCUCUUUUAGCAGGGAAGAAGCGAAAGUGACGGUACCUGCAGAAAAAGCGCCGGCUAACUACGUGCCAGCAGCCGCGGUAAUACGUAGGGCGCAAGCGUUAUCCGGAAUUAUUGGGCGUAAAGAGCUCGUAGGCGGUUUGUCGCGUCUGCUGUGAAAUCCCGAGGCUCAACCUCGGGCCUGCAGUGGGUACGGGCAGACUAGAGUGCGGUAGGGGAGAUUGGAAUUCCUGGUGUAGCGGUGGAAUGCGCAGAUAUCAGGAGGAACACCGAUGGCGAA